CAGCAGCCACGGGAAUACAGAGGGUGCAAGCGUUAAUCGGAAUUACUGGGCGUAAAGCGCGCGUAGGUGGUUCGCCAAGUUGGAUGUGAAAUCCCCGGGCUCAACCUGGGAACUGCAUCCAAAACUGGCGAGCUAGAGUAUGGUAGAGGGUGGUGGAAUUUCCUGUGUAGCGGUGAAAUGCGUAGAUAUAGGAAGGAACAUCAGUGGCGAAGGCGACCACCUGGACUGAUACUGACACUGAGGUGCGAGAGCGUGGGGAGCAAACAGGAUUAGAUACCCGCGUAGUCCCUGUCUCUUAUAA
rnacentral:rRNA from 1 species